rnacentral:lncRNA from 1 species
CCCGCACCUCACCCCGCGCCCCCCACGCCCCCCACGCUGGCGUUGUGUCCCGCAGCGCAUGGCCCGCUCCCCGCUGCUGCGGCGGCACGGCGUCCCGGAGUGCAUCCUGCUGGUGACGCAGCGCAUCACCAAAUACCCGGUGCUCAUCGAGCGCAUCCUGCGCAACUCGCGAGGUGCGGCCCUGCGGGCGCUGCGCUGUGGGGCGGCUGUGUGCUAUGGGGUGGUGAUGUGCUAUGGGGUGGUGAUGUGCUAUGGGGUGGUGAUGUGCUGUGGGGUGGUGAUGUGCUAUGGGGUGGUGAUGUGCUAUGGGGUGGCUGUGCGCUGUGGGGCGGCGCUGCGCUGUGGGGCGGCGCUGCGCUAUGGGGUGGCUGUGCCCUAUGGGGUGAUGCACUAUGGGGUGGCUGUGCGCUAUGGGGCGGUGGUUAUGGGGCUGUGUUUAUGGGGCAGUGGUUAUGGGGCGCUGUUGAUGGGGCGGUGGUUAUGGGGCGGUAGUUACGGGGUGCUGAUUAUGGGGUGCUGGUUAUGGGGCAGUGCCUAUGGGGCGCUGGUUAUGGGGCGCUGGUUGUGGAGCGCUGGUUGCGGGAUGUUGGUUAUGGGGCACUGGUUAUGGGGUGCUGGUUAUGGGGCGGUGCCUAUGGGGCACUGGUUAUGGGGCGCUGCUUACGGGGCGGUGGUUAUGGGAUGCUGGUUGUGGGAUGCUGGUUGUGG